rnacentral:RNase_P_RNA from 1 species
CCGGAAGGCCGGACGGCCGCUUGCCGCAAGGCGGGAGGAAAGUCCGGGCUUCAUGGAAACAGGAUGCCGGGUAACGCCCGGGCGGGGCAACCCGACGGAUCAGUGCAACAGAAAACAAACCGCCGAUGGCCAAAGUUUUAUAGCUUGGGCACAGGUAAGGGCGAAACGGUGCGGUAAGAGCGCACCGCGGACCUGGCAACAGGAACGGCAAGGCAAACCCCAUCCGAAGCAAGACCAAAUAGGGGCGGCAUAUAUCGUGUUUCCGCGAUGUCGCCCGGGUAGGUUGCUAAAGGCCUUUGGUAACAAAGGAACGAGAGGAAUGGUCGUCGAAGCUCCGCAAGGGGUGGAACAGAACCCGGCUUAUAGGCCCUCCGGCCAU